rnacentral:rRNA from 1 species
AGUGGACGCUGGCGGUAGGCCUAACACAUGCAAGUCGAACGGCAGCGCAGUAAGAGCUUGCUCUUACGGGUGGCGAGUGGCGGACGGGUGAGGAAUACAUCGGAAUCUACUUUUUCGUGGGGGAUAACGUAGGGAAACUUACGCUAAUACCGCAUACGACCUACGGGUGAAAGCAGGGGAUCUUCGGACCCUGCGCGAUUGAAUGAGCCGAUGUCGGAUUAGCUAGUUGGCGGGGUAAAGGCCCACCAAGGCGACGAUCCGUAGCUGGUCUGAGAGGAUGAUCAGCCACACUGGAACUGAGACACGGUCCAGACUCCUACGGGAGGCAGCAGUGGGGAAUAUUGGACAAUGGGCGCAAGCCUGAUCCAGCCAUACCGCGUGGGUGAAGAAGGCCUUCGGGUUGUAAAGCCCUUUUGUUGGGAAAGAAAAGCAGCAGGUUAAUACCCCGCUGUUCUGACGGUACCCAAAGAAUAAGCACCGGCUAACUUCGUG